CCGGAGUGUUACGGUUUACACAUGGUUCACUUUUGCAUGUGCGGCGGAUCAUAUUGAUUUGUUCAAGUUUGCUGGCACUGAGUUUUCAAUGACUUUAAAGGACAUGCCAAAAUUCGAAUGUUUGAACGUGGUAUCGAUCAACGUGUACGACAUCGAGAAUAAACACGUCCUUCCUCUACGCCUCAUCGGUGACAAGAAGGAGAAGCACGUCAACAUGCUAUAUCUGCAAGAUCCACACAACGAUGGUGUAGCCCACUUUGUGUGGAUCAAGAAUGUCCCGUCUCGUGAGAUCGCAAAUUAUUAGGGACAAGAAGAAACAAAUUUUUCUGCGAUCGAUGUCUUUAUUACUUCAGUACGAAUAAAAAAUUACAGUCACACGUAGUGGAUUGUGGCAAAAUGAACGACUACGCUAUCCUAUUGCUGAGCGAGGACGACAAGUGGCUCGAAUUUGGGAACCACUACAAUAAGGAACAAGUGCCGUUCAUCGUCUAUGCUGACCUGGAGUGCGUUCUACGUAAGAUGGAAUCCAACAAGAAAAACGAAUCGUCAUACACAUGUCAACAGCAUGAGGUAUUUAGUAUAGGUAUUAUAUUACGUGCGAUGAUGCGUUAUUGUCGUAUCAGUUUUGUCGCGAUAAAGACUGUAUAGCAUGAUUCACGCGAUCCAACUCCAAGACUUGGCGUACCGCGUGAAAAAUAUCAUAUCCGCUGACGUGCCCAUAAUAGCGUCGCCGAAAGAACAAUAGCAGGCAUACCAUAGCGCGACGCGUUGUCACAUCUGCGAGAAACCACGCUGGAUGACGCGGGUACGCGAUCAUCUCACCGCGGUAGAUAUCGCGGUCCAGCAUGCAAACUGCAAUCUAAAUUAUAAAAAUUUGCUAUAUAUUUCGGUUAUACUUCACAAUUUAUCGGGCUACGACGCACAUU